GUGGCAGUGAGCCGAAAGGUUGCAAAGUGACAGUUGCCUUGCUGGUUCGAACAACAACAACAACAACAAAAAAAGAGAGAGAAACAAAAGCCUCAACGUCUUUCAUUUCACGAACCAACAGUGAAGAGAAUAGAAGGGGGGGAAAAAGGGCCACCAGUCGAGCCAUAAAUUUCAUAAUUUCCCGAAUCGGAAGGGGCAACGAUGGAGUGACAUGAUUGUCUGGCCGAGAGAUUUAACUCGGCGUUUCCUUUUGCGUGUUAAAAGAGAGAGAGAGACGAAAAUAAAAGAAGGAAAUGCAUAGACGUUGUAGCAAGCAUUUCUUUUCUCUAUUUGUUCUUCUCUGUAUUCUAUACAGAGAAAGAAAAGUCAAGUCAGUUUAGCGGUGGCGACAGCAUCGCUCUCUUUCUAGAACCGCCUUCUUCUCGUCUGUGUGUGUUUCUAUAUGCCAACGAAUUUCAAUUAGCGGUCGACAAUGUUAUUUAUAACCCAUUCCGCAACCGAGAGACAAUCAAAAAGGGCAAACUUCUGAUGGAUGAUGGAUUGCGCCAUAUCCUCUCUACAGUGUGGGUUAUUUUGACACGGGCAAGGCGAUUUGUAUCUGCGCAAUCCGGAUUCUCGAAGGAAACGUUUCGUUUCACAAACUUCACAACAGACGUCCAAAGAUUUGUGAACUCUUUUGCUUUUGUUUCUAUUUUAACGAUCGAGUUGAAACUGUUUUGCAUCUCAUGACACUUUACAGUCUCUCUCUCUCCCUCCUCCUUUUUUAUUACCGUAGUCAUCUCAAAUUUCUGUCUUUUAAAACACAAUUUUUUGUUUUGUUUUUCAAUUCAAAUGAAAAGAAAAAUGUUUGAAUUCAAAAGCAACAAACGAUGCAGAACAAUUCACGGUUAUGUGAGUCGACCAUCGACACUCGAUGGCCGUCUAGGAGACGACUUGUAUAACGACUGGCUAUCGAGAGCCAAAUAAUGGCACACAUUAACCAGUGUCACCGAAAAGCACCGGCAUCGAUCAAAAAAGACGGUGAUAUGUAAAUUUGACCGAGGCGAUGGUGGUUGAAAGAAAACGGGGAAGAAGAAGAAGAGAAGAAAAGGAGUAGCUGACAAGCCAUGAACAAAAAGGAAGAGAAGAAAAAGAACCGCAAUUUUAUACUUUGUUACACCGAUAGUCUGGAGAAACAAAAAAGAAAGAAAAAGAAAAAGAAAAAGAAAACUAACCGAACAGGUGUGUGCGUGUAUGUUACAGAGGACCAGCGCCUGUAGUUCGGCCAUAUCCCGACGUAAAAAUGGCCAACGCAUCAAAGACUUUUCGAUGCAUUGACAGAUGGAUUUAUGGACAGAUGGGGAUAUACUUAUAUUAUAUAAACAUUGUAAGAAAUAAAAAAAACAAAAAACAAAAAAUAAUAAUAAAACAAAAAAGUCUGGGGCUUUGGCUGAAUUUCAAUAGAUCCAAAAUGGCGUCGAACAGGGACCUCAACUCGCAUUUGCAUAAUGACUGGACAUUGAACAAGGACGCGCUAGAGGUUUUAAACAAAUAAAAUAAAGAAAAAGGUGUCUCUUGGCAACUCAAUAUUUAUUAUGAUGGUCAUCUUCUUCUUAUAUAUUUUCUUUCCUUGUUAUUUUUCCUUUAAUAGUUUCCUAUCGUUCCCCACUUUUCUUGCCCAUCUUGUCCCCCUUUUGUUUUUCUUUUCCCAAAAAAAAAAGUUUUUUCUUCUUUCUUUUGUUUUUUUUUUAAGGUUUGGCUGUUGCGUCUUAAAUAAUGGGAAAGGAAUUGUAUAUUAAAAUCAAGGGGAUAUUGUCAACCGGUUUAGGGGAACUGUCAGAUCACACUCGCACACCUUGAUUAAUGUAAUGGAGUCGGCUCGCGCGGCACUCGCCCUACGGAGAACAGCGUCCG